CUUGGGUCCGGCAUAACCCCGGGAAACUGGGGAUAAUUCCGGAUAACGCACAUAUGCUGGAAUGCUUUAUGCGUCAAAUGGAUUCGUCUGCCCAAGGAUGGGUCUGCUCUCCUAUCAGGUAGUAGUGGGUGUAAUGUACCUACUAGCCGACGACGGGUACGGGUUGUGAGAGCAAGAGCCCGGAGAUGGAUUCUGAGACAUGAAUCCAGGCCCUACGGGGCGCAGCAGGCGCGAAAACUUUACAAUGCGGGAAACCGUGAUAAGGGGACACCGAGUGCCAGCAUCAUAUGCUGGCUGUCCGGGUGUGUAAAAUACACCUGUUAGCAAGGGCCGGGCAAGACCGGUGCCAGCCGCCGCGGUAACACCGGCGGCCCGGGUGGUGAUCGUGAUUAUUGGGUCUAAAGGGUCCGUAGCCGGUUUGGUCAGUCCUCCGGGAAAUCUGACGGCUUAACCGUUAGGCUUUCGGAGGAUACUGCCAGGCUUGGAACCGGGAGAGGUAAGAGGUACUACAGGGGUAGGAGUGAAAUCUUGUAAUCCCUGUGGGACCACCUGUGGC
rnacentral:rRNA from 1 species